rnacentral:miRNA from 1 species
ACACCAACCGCGACUAAAGA